rnacentral:rRNA from 1 species
CCCUUAGAUGUUCUGGGCCGCACGCGCGCUACACUGAUGCAUUCAACGAGUCUAAAACCUGGUCUGAGAGGGCUGGGUAAUCUUUUGAAAGUGCAUCGUGAUUGGGAUAGAUGAUUGCAAUUCUUCAUCUUCAACGAGGAAUGCCUAGUAAACGCAAGUCAUCAGCUUGCAUUGAUUACGUCCCUGCCCUUUGUACACACCGCCCGUCGCUCCUACCGAUUGAACGAUCCGAUGAAAACUGUGGAUUGAGAGUCUGAGUGGGUCCGCCUACCUCAACUUUCGAGAAGCGGUUUAAAUCUUAUCGUUUAGAGGAAGGAGAAGUCGUAACA